rnacentral:lncRNA from 1 species
CUGGGGACCCAAGGCCAAGCAAGAGCUUUCAUGACUGGGAGGAACAUUCCAGAGAGAAAAUUAUAUAAGUGGUCAUUUUGUCUAAAAGGAAAUGUGUUUCUCCUAUGGAGUAGAAGAAUUCCUGCAUAAAUACAGAUAAGUGUUAAGGUUGGUAUCUACCCGAAACAGAGUUUGAGUGAAUGUUUUUUAAAGAUUUUCAUACAAUUUUACACCGUUAAUCUUCUAUAGCUCUUGAUGAUGAGGAGCAGCCAGCAUUUUUCUCAUCAGGAUCUGUGCAGAUCUCUGGCUGAUUGCUUUAUGCCUGGUUCUGGAGCCUUUGCCAGUGCAUUCUAAGAAGAACAAGGGAAGACCAGCAAGCCACAGCAGAAGAAACUCAGAAGGAAAUGUAACCUUCCACAGGCCCACACAUGUGUUAUCAGCCAUACCUUAGGACAGAAGGAAUGAGUUUGCAGAAAGGAUGGCACUGGGAUAGAUGCUGGAAA